CUACGGCUAUUCCAAAUUUCUGCACAACAAAUCCUUUAUAUAUAGAGAGAGACCAAGAAGCAGCAGGGUGACAAGAGAAGAGAAGAGAGUGGUGAGUGCACAGCCUUGAUAUUGCAACAUCAUGGCUUGGAGGUGCCAGAUGAACAUGGUUCUUCUGCUUGUUAUACUGGAGAUCAUUCUGCUCGUUGCGAUGCCGUCUGGAGUGCUGGCUUUUCAAUCAUAUAGAAGGACCGGCCCCGACUGUCCAGGAUGUGCUGGUGAUCCUUGUAAUUGUUUACCAUGAGAAGAGGACUAAUACAUAUGCUCGUCCGCCACCAUCUAUGAUUCACGACGACUUAUUUCUCCCUGUAAUAAGACGUAUAUUAUUCCUCCUUGCAAUAAGAAUUGUGAUGAUCUCAUAUGUAUGACCAAGCUUCGUGUAUAUACGGGAAAAGUGAAACCGGCUCCAAUUACCACACGCUCAAUGACCCCCCUUGCCCUAUGGUUUGAUUUGAAACUGCUAGACAUGACAUGGUCACAUUAUGUAGGCAGUAUGCUGUGUUAAGUACGAA